AGCGGUGCGGUGGCUGCCGGAGUGUGCUCGGCAGCGCCUGGUGGGACGUUCCGGGGCUUUUGCCGAGGCUUUGCCUGUUCAGGACACGAGGCUUUAAAUCCAGCGGCGUGUGGCUCUGCUCGGGGCGGCUUCCUGCCAGCGUGGGGCCGCUGUUUCCGGCAGGAGGAGGGGUGCGAGGUGCCUCCAUGCGUCUUUAUUCGAGAGCGGGUUUUCCCGAAGCGGCGAGUCCCAGCUGCGCCACCGUGCCCCCGCCUGCUGGAGGGGCGGGUGGCUUCAGGCGGGGCAGUUAUAGCGGUGUGUUGGUGGGGCUUCUGCCGUGCUGCCUGACCGGGUCCCGCUCGUCCCCGCUGGGCUUCGGUGGUGAUCGUAGCCUCGGGGAUGGUAACAUCUGAACUGGUGCCCAGAAGCACUGCUCAAAGGCUUUUUAUAGGUUAUAGGUGUCCCACUAGAUGUACAGAGACCACCCAUCAUGAUCCCGUGGCCCCUACAGCUAUCUCCAGCUGUCCCAGCUGUGAUACAGAGAGUAGCUUUUACUGUCUUCUGUACAGUUAUGUUGACUGGAGACUAGCUAAGUAACUACUUUCUAAGUUUGAAGAGUAUUUUCCUUACUUACAUUUAGUGAUAUGAGUAUAAAUCUUUAAAAUCCUUCCAAAUCAUGUUAGAAGAGUCAUCCUUCCUGAGAUGAUUAUUCAAAGGAUUCUGAAGAUCUGAAUAGCUUUGAAGAGCUAUUUGAGCAGCAAUUUGACAGGAAAAGAAGAUUAGUAUGAGAUACCAGUACUCCUAAAAAGAUCCAAAAGAAUCAGAAGGUGGCUUUGUAUUGGAGAGAGGCAUGCAAGCUCACUUCUGAUGACUGCACCAGGGAUGAUUGUGGAGAGAAGCUAUACCUGCAGUUUUACCAACAGAUGCAGAAAGAAUGAGGCACCUUCUAACUGUCAUUGCCAUCAGCAAGGAGCAAAAAGGAAUAUGCUGGAGUUAUAGGCAAGCAGUUACAAGAGCCUGGUCUUGUGGUGGAAAUAAUAUACUUUACAUAAGUCACAUCUCACACAUGCACUCAAAGAAGUUAAAAAUGACAGCUGCUAAAGGAUUUGGACUUCUGGGAUAUUCUUGAUAUCAACCUGCAAAAUGGCCACUGUUUGGAGGGAGACCUGACCUUUUGCCAAUGCCAGGAUGUUGCGGUUUAGGCCCGGCUGGCAACUAAGCACCAUGAGGCUGCUUGCCCACUUCUUCCCCUGGUGGGAAAAGGAGGAGAAUUGGAAGAAAAAGCUAUUCAUGUUAAACCACUACAGCACCAAUGUGGACCUUAACUAAGAAGACACUGCUGACACCAUUGGCUAUAGUGGAAGUCCUGUAACCACACAUUCAUUGCACCUUCUGUCACACUCCAGCCUGUGAAAACUUCCGAAGAAUUUGAGAAGGCUUUUCUAUUAAAAUAAAUGUUCAUGAAUGCCAGUGUUGUA